CUCUAAGUCUGUUCUAGUCUGCAGAGAGAGGAGAUUCAAACUGACAGAGAAGGCAAAAGGGUCUGUACAAGCGAGCAUCAUGGGACGGGGUGAGAGUGAUGAUUGGGAUGAGAAGCACCAGGACACGAGGCAAACUCAGCCGCAGAAACACAGCGAGUCAGAGGGCAGGAGGUCUCAGAGCAAAUGUCCCAAAUGCUGCCUGCGGACGAGGGACUGCCUGAUGAGCCCGGAGUGCGGCCGGGCGCUGCAGAUCUCCAGCGUGGUGGCCUGGUGCGGGAUGUGCAUCCGCAUGUUUGUCUAAACGGCAUGACUAACUUUCCUGGCCUAACUUCAAUCAUCCUCCAGCACCUGCCAGGGGACUCUGCUGCAUUUUUGUUCUCCUCUGAGAGGAAAAAAAUGUUAUAUUACAAGUUGCAACUUGUGUUUUGAAUGAAGGGGACUUUAAUCAGCAUGUGGUCAUG
rnacentral:lncRNA from 1 species